rnacentral:rRNA from 1 species
UACAGAGGUCUCAAGCGUUGUUCGGAUUUAUUGGGUUUAAAGGGUGCGUAGGCGGCCUAUUAAGUCAGUGCUGAAAUAUCCCGGCUUAACCGGGAGGGUGGCAUUGAUACUGAUGGGCUUGAGUAAAGUUGAGGUAGGCGGAAUUGACGGUGUAGCGGUGAAAUGCUUAGAUAUCGUCAAGAACACCUAUUGCGAAGGCAGCUUACUAAGCUUUAACUGACGCUGAUGCACGAAAGUGUGGGGAUCAAACAGG